rnacentral:lncRNA from 1 species
ACUGUAGCAGAGGGGAAUUAUUGUCCCAAUGCGAUCUACUAGUUGUCACGAGUACGUAGGAUUUUGCGGAUCUCAAUUCGGAUAUCGUUUGACUAUCGAACGAAUUUUCGCAUAUUGUGCGUUAUCCGAGUUCGAUAGGUUCUGACCGUUGGAUCAUUUCCCAAUCAAUAUAUGUUUUUCUAGGUAUUCCUAGGAUCGUAUAGGAAUUUGUGGAUUGUGAAUUGGAGCCCCGGAUGUUCCAAUUCAAUAACUUAAAGUUUGCGUUUUAUAAUAAUCGUCCGAUCGUGCGAUCGUAAGCGAUCUAACCGUCCGUUUCGGACCAAACUUGCGAGACGGGUAUCUUAGACCUUGUGAAACAUUCAGGAACUUUCGGAUUGUAAAACGGAGGUCGUGGGUCCCGUAGACCCGGUUGACAUGAAUUGGAAAGUUUGACCGCCGGUUGACCGAGUGUCUCCCAAAGUUGUUCUAUCGUCCAAAUUGGGUAGUUGGACCUUAGAACGUCUCAUUCCUAGUACACUUACUAGAAACCGAGGAAAUUAGGAUAUUUAAUUUAAAGUACUUGUUCGAAACGCUUCGUAUUAAUCUCGUAUACGUAUUCUGAAUUAG